rfam:Clostridium tyrobutyricum DIVETGP, WGS project CBXI01000000 data, contig: NODE_11
ACAAAUAAGUAAAAUAUUCCAUAGACAGUAGGUGCAAAAGCAUAACAGUUAAUCUAACCUACCGAGGAUUCCAAUAUAAGAAAGUAAUUGGUCUCUCUUUGUCUAUGAGGAGACCUUUAAUUUUUAUAUA